rnacentral:lncRNA from 1 species
GAUGGCCUUCUCAUCGGGCCUGAGAGUGCCUACAAUAUCCUCGGCAUCCAACAUCUUGGGGAUGUCCAGGUACUUCUCUGCCACCUCAAAGGCGUUGUUCAGGUUGGUCACGGGGUCAUCCUUUCUGAGUUUGUCGUACUCGAUGAGCUCUGGUCUGUGUCUGUGGAUCAAGGCGUUGAAGGCAAGACCGUCCUUCCAGCUGAUGUGGAAGUUCUGCACGUUGACGUUCUUGUAGGGCGCCGUCUUCCUCUGGCACCACAGCAGCAGCCCCUCCUUGGCCGAGGUCUCUUCCACGGAGAUGUCCUGGAUGGCAAAUCGGAGGAUGAUGGUCCAGAUCAUGCCCAGCGUCAUCUUGGCGUUGCCAUCGACGAUUUCCUCAGCCCCUAUGGACACCAGCUUGACGCCUUUGCUGGCGAUGAAAUCGAGCGCUUUGUUCACGUUGUUGAUUUUGUGCACUCUCAUCUUCCCUCGCUCCGGUUUUGGCAAUCGCUCCCCUGAGAUCACCUCCAGGAGCAGCAUCAGCUUGAGGCCAUCGCGGAAGUCCUCGUCGAUGUUCUCGAUCUGCGUGCCGGCCUUCCGCAGGUGGGAGUUGCACCAGGCUGUGAAGGUCU